CCCUUGAGAGUGGCGAACGGGUGAGUAAUAUAUCGGAACGUGCCCAGUCGUGGGGGAUAACGUAGUGAAAAUUACGCUAAUACCGCAUACGAUCUAAGGAUGAAAGCGGGGGAUCGCAAGACCUCGCGCGACUGGAGCGGCCGAUAUCAGAUUAGGUAGUUGGUAGGGUAAAGGCCUACCAAGCCAACGAUCUGUAGCUGGUCUGAGAGGACGACCAGCCACACUGGAACUGAGACACGGUCCAGACUCCUACGGGAGGCAGCAGUGGGGAAUUUUGGACAAUGGGCGAAAGCCUGAUCCAGCCAUUCCGCGUGCAGGAUGAAGGCCCUCGGGUUGUAAACUGCUUUUGUACAGAACGAAAAGGUUUCUAUUAAUACUAGGGGCUCAUGACGGUACUGUAAGAAUAAGCACCGGCUAACUACGUGCCAGCAGCCGCGGUAAUACGUAGGGUGCAAGCGUUAAUCGGAAUUACUGGGCGUAAAGCGUGCGCAGGCGGUUAUAUAAGUCAGAUGUGAAAUCCCCGGGCUCAACCUGGGAACUGCAUUUGAGACUGUAUAGCUAGAGUACGGUAGAGGGGGAUGGAAUUCCGCGUGUAGCAGUGAAAUGCGUAGAUAUGCGGAGGAACACCGAUGGCGAAGGCAAUCCCCUGGACCUGU
rnacentral:rRNA from 1 species